GGACCUCCUAAAGCCUGCAACACCAACCGUCCGGGGAAACUCGGGCGGGGCCCUCACGGGGUGGUAAGAGAGUGCAGGAUGAACAAUGGACGAUCCGCAGCGAAGACCCUACCGGCGAGAGCCCACGGGUACCGUUCACAGACUAAGUGACUGUGGGCGGGGCAUCAGGCCCCGUCUAAGAUAUAGUCGGUCUCUGCUCGAAAGAGCAGAGCCUAGCGCGUCCGUAGGUGAACCUGCGGAAGGAUCAUUAAAGAAUCGCCCCGUUUUUUGAAAUGGGUUCUAUUCCCAAACCGUGUAUACAUACCUUUGUUGCUUUGGCAAGCCGCCUUUUAGGCGUCGGCUCCGGCUGACUGCGCCUGCCAGAGGACCCAAACUCGUUGUU
rnacentral:misc_RNA from 1 species